AUUGAACGCUGGCGGCAGGCCUAACACAUGCAAGUCGAACGGUAACAGAAAGCAGCUUGCUGCUUUGCUGACGAGUGGCGGACGGGUGAGUAAUGUCUGGGAAACUGCCUGAUGGAGGGGGAUAACUACUGGAAACGGUAGUUAAUACCGCAUAACGUCGCAAGACCAAAGAGGGGGACCUUCGGGCCUCUUGCCAUCGGAUGUGCCCAGAUGGGAUUAGCUAGUAGGUGGGGUAACGGCUCACCUAGGCGACGAUCCCUAGCUGGUCUGAGAGGAUGACCAGCCACACUGGAACUGAGACACGGUCCAGACUCCUACGGGAGGCAGCAGUGGGGAAUAUUGCACAAUGGGCGCAAGCCUGAUGCAGCCAUGCCGCGUGUAUGAAGAAGGCCUUCGGGUUGUAAAGUACUUUCAGCGGGGAGGAAGGGAAUAAAGUUAAUACCUUUGCUCAUUGACGUUACCCGCAGAAGAAGCACCGGCUAACUCCGUG
rnacentral:rRNA from 1 species